GACGAACGCUGGCGGCGUGCUUAACACAUGCAAGUCGAACGGAAAGGCCCUGCUUGCAGGGUACUCGAGUGGCGAACGGGUGAGUAACACGUGGGUGAUCUGCCCUGCACUUCGGGAUAAGCCUGGGAAACUGGGUCUAAUACCGGAUAGGAGCCAUUUUUAGUGUGAUGGUUGGAAAGUUUUUUCGGUGUAGGAUGAGCUCGCGGCCUAUCAGCUUGUUGGUGGGGUAAUGGCCUACCAAGGCGGCGACGGGUAGCCGGCCUGGGAGGGUGGACGGCCACAUUGGGUCUGAGAUACGGCCCAGACUCCUACGGGAGGCAGCGGGGGGGAAUAUUGCACAAUGGGCGCAAGCCUGAUGCAGCGACGCCGCGGGGGGGAUGACGGCCUUCGGGUUGGAAACUCCUUUCGCUAGGGACGAAGCUUUUUGUGACGGUACCUAGAUAAGAAGCACCGGCUAACUACGUG
rnacentral:rRNA from 1 species